rnacentral:rRNA from 1 species
UACGUAGGGUGCGAGCGUUGCCCGGAUUUAUUGGGCGUAAAGGGCGCGUAGGCGGCCACCGCAAGUCGACUGUGAAAUCUCCGGGCUUAACCCGGAAAGGUCAGCCGAUACUGCGGGGCUAGAGUGCAGAAGGGGCAACUGGAAUUCUCGGUGUAGUGGUGAAAUGCGUAGAUAUCGGGAGGAACACCAGUGGCGAAGGCGGCUUUCUGGCCUGUUCUUGACGCUGAGGCGCGAAAG